rnacentral:ncRNA from 1 species
GUUAUAGUGAUGAAGAGGACAAGAGCUAUUAGGACGGUUAUCAGAGAGGGAAGAAAAGGUGCGAUCUUCCUAACGCAGCGUAAUAGCUUACCACCUUGGAGCUGCAUGGGCGAAAUAUGAGUAGUUCAUGCCGUGUGCUACGAUACAGCAAACCAAGGCCAUUACUUUGAAAGGUAGUGGGAAAUUGGGUGGAACCGCGGGUAAAACCAUACUCGUCCCUUAU